GGCCGACUGGCCUAAUGGUUAAGGCGUCAGUUUCCGGUAGGGAUAAGCUGAAGAUUCUGGGUUCGAAUCCCAGGUUGGUCG
rfam:Dichomitus squalens LYAD-421 SS1 unplaced genomic scaffold DICSQscaffold_4, whole genome shotgun sequence.